UACAGAGGUCUCAAGCGUUGUUCGGAUUCAUUGGGCGUAAAGGGUGUGUAGGCGGCGCCGUAAGUCGGGUGUGAAAUUUCGGAGCUUAACUCCGAAACUGCAUUCGAUACUGCCGUGCUUGAGGACUGGAGAGGAGACUGGAAUUUACGGUGUAGCGGUGAAAUGCGUAGAUAUCGUAAGGAACAUCAGUGGCGAAAGCGACUUCCUGGACCAAUACUGACGCUCAUGUGCGAAAGCGUGGGGAGCAAACAGG
rnacentral:rRNA from 1 species